ACUACGACCUUUGUCCGUGGCCGCCUUCAUCUUCAUCUUAGCCGAGGGGUGUUAGGAAUGGGUUUUGCAGUUCUUGGGGGGUAUCUUACUCCAUCCGCAAUCACUUUCUGGGAUUUCUUUAGUGUUAAUUCCCAAUUGCGCGUCCAAUUCAAGGUGAACGAAAGAUGAAAAGAAAUUUUGUUCUUUUUACCGCUUAUUGCCCCCAUUCGCUUACAAUUUUGACCGUGCUGAUGCCAAGUUUCUUUACUGCUUCCCUUUUGCUUAUCGCAUGCUAAUUGUGCCUUCCCUCUUUGUAGUUUUAGCUUUCUUUUUUCAGCGAACAAUGGAUUGAGUUUUAGGGCUUCAAUUUGUUCUUGAAAUAACAUUAUCCUUUUCUUGUAUUGUUUUGUGGAAGAACUUAUCCUUGUUAACUGUCAACCAGGCAACGCUUUAUGUCUAUGAUCAAGUUAAAAUGCUGACCAGAGUAUAUUUUUUUUAGUAGAAAAAUGUUGUGUUGGAUACUGGAGUUUGCAUUUUACAAUUCAAACUAAUUUUGGAUGCUCAGUUGAACGGAGUAUGCUCUGUGUUAUGACAUCGAUUUGUUUUGCUAUCUUUCGGUUUCAUAUUGACCAUUUUUUGCCCACUUUACUAAAGAAAAUUCAUAUUGAGUGGAGCCAACUAGGAAAGGACUAUUUGAGAAUAGGGCAAAAGGCCACCUCAUGGCAGGCUGCACCAUUGAGCUCGGCCGCAAGUCAGGACAGUAGUAUCAUGGAAAUGGGAGUAUGUUAUUAUGAUUUAUAGGGCUAGAUGAACUUACUACCGAUAAUUUGGACUCAAGCAUUGUUGUAUCAUUGGGCCAAUAAUUUUAUUAGGCUGGGAGGUGGUGACGGGUCCAUCAUAAUGUUUAUGUAACUACUUGAUGAUCAGCAAGUUUUCAAUGGCCUGUUACGAAGUACAUGCAUAUAUCAUAGCAUUUGAUCUUGUAUGGAAUGUUUAUAAAUAAUUUGGAGAAACUUUAUGGAAUGUAUGCUUGUUUUGGGUCCCUAAAAUUUGAUCUAGUAUGGGCAAUUCAUCUCCCACAUUGCAUUUGGCAGCUCGCUUGCCAAGACGGCAAGGCAUAGCGUGCUUCACAGUGCUAUAUUCGUCGAGACUUUGUGUUGUUUGUAUGCCAAUUUCUCAUUCUGCUUCGACAUUGAUAGAGUGUGCCUCUUGAUUUGACUACAAUCUUUUUACUCAUGUUCUUAGAUUGGUUAGCAGUCUUUGCUACUAACUGGUCUACAUUUUGAUGCAGAACUCUAACAAAAUUAAAAAGGUCAAUUGCCCAGUUUUUGUAAUUCAUGUAAGUGCUUUGUCUUAAAUACAUGCGUUUUGUCCUGCAAACAGCCAGUGGCUUGAUUCUUUCUAUUGAGAAGAAUUUAAAGGCUUCUUUUUUUUUUUUGUGAAGCAGUAGUAUUUGAAUCCUCAACAACUCUGCUGUAGGUUGAUGUUUUUCCACUGCAUUAGAACUUUGAACUUGCAAAUUGGCCUUAUUUUCUAAACCAGUGGUUCAAAGAAAAAAUAUCUGUUUUUCUAUAAACGUAACAUUGAACAGUCUCAGUUUCUUUUAUUUAUCGAUUCUUUUCAGCUGCUACGCUAAACUUCUGCAUUCAGUGAUUAGUUUGGAAUAUGGUGUCAAUUUCCUCGUGCACUUUCAUGAAUUUAAAGUGCUAUUUAACUUGUGCAUUACGCUCACCAAAGUGAACACUGUAGACCUUGCUGGAACUCAUUCGGUACUACAGUACUGCUGCCUAGAGACUUCGCUUAUUCACCAUCAUAUUCCAAAGUUUUGGUUUAAGAUUUUCCUUAUUUAUGAUUAUUGCUGCGGAAGGUAUAAGAAUUCAGAAUUAUUAGCAGAAAUCAGUCAACGACCACUUCUCGGAAGGCGAUAGCUAGCAUGUGAACUGAAACUACACUUUUCUCUGUGUUUCCUUCUUCUGCCUCUCAUCGAUUUUUCAGAAAUAAGAUGAUAUUUGACUGAUCCUGUUGUCUCCUUCCGAGUCAUAUCAAACCCCUAGGAUUUCCAAGGACUGGAUUACCCAUUUCAUAGUGGUAAGUAAGGCAUUCAUUUUGGAACUGAUGUCAAUCUUUUCAGAGGCAGCUGCAGUGACACAUAAAUGUAUCCUCAAACAUCUCUCAGCCAAUGUUAGUGAUCAUUGAGCUUCUACCCGGGUAUCUCCAUUAAUACUGUUUAGGCCUGUUAUUUUUACUUACUUUGUUUUACGUUCCAUUAUGUACAUGUUGUCAAUUUCUGCUGUAUAUUGUCAGUAAUUCCUUGAGUUUUGUGAGCAAUGAUAUCCCUUAUUGAGAAGUUCAAAUACGAGUAUCAGAAUGAUCAUUAUAAAUAUUCCUGAUAACGUUAUGCGACUGGUUCCAAUCCUUUACCAUUAGAUAAUUUUAAAAUGUUGAUUUGCUGAUGGUUGUUUUCAAAUAUAAUCUUUGAUCUCUCCUAUAAAUUAGGGAUUCCUGAGUUUGGACCACGUCAGAGAUAACUUUCACAUGGUUUAUGUGGUAGUGUUUCCGUAUUUUACCCUUGCUUCAUCUUGAUUUGUCAAUAGUUCUUUUUUAGAGAAUCAAAAUCUAUAAAAGAUUAGGGAGUUUAGACUUUGCACCAUGUCAAGGCUUAAAAAAUCUUUGCUUUGGUGUGCUUCCUGUUGUAAGAACUCUUACUAAGAUCUUGAUUCUUGUUAAUAUAAUCUAGUACUUUUGUCUCAUGACUAAUACAAUAUUCAUCUUAUUGCACUUGUUGGUUUGUUUUAUCCAUACAAUCGAGGAGCCCUUUUCACAGUUCUCAUAUCAUAUAUGCUCUGACUUCUGGUAUUGCUGCUUACACAGCGAACUCCUUUUAUAUGCAGCUCGAAGGGACUAACUGACUUCACAGCAGAUACUUCAAAUGUGUUUAACGGCAGCUAAUACUUCAAGAUUGAGCAGAGUGAUAUCAGCAGAGAAAUAGGAUGGCUGGAUCCAAGCAGCACUCAUCAACAAGAAGGCAGCAGUAUAGGGUAGCAAGGCUGCGAAACAAAACAUUCUAGUUAGUGGAGAAGUCAACAUUCUAGUUAGUGGAGAAGUCAUCAAAAAACCGUAUGAAGACAUACAUAGGGAGGCUACUGCCACCACAAGCACCACAUUCACGACCAACUGUUGCUGUGGGAUUAGACGCAGGAAACCUAAUUGCUGGAGGUACCCAUGGGGAAGAUGUCUAAUGGUGCAGUGCUCCAAGGGAUGUGCAUACCUGUGCAACUGAUGUUGUAGAGAUUGGCAUUGAUGGUGGCCUCCUCUGUACAGACUUGCUCUAACUUCCAAACCUAUCUAUUGUAUCGAAAUGUCAACAGGGACAAUCGAGCUAUCGUUUGCUUGAGCAUCGAGAGAAUAGAUUCUAGUUUUUUUAACUGAAACUACACUGAUGAUCUCCAUGCUGUAGAAAUCUCAAUUUGGUGGUGUUGUAUAGUUAUUGCCCA